CGCUGGCGGCGUGCCUAACACAUGCAAGUCGAACGUGAAAGGGCUUCGGCCUGAGUAAGUGGCGCACGGGUGAGUAACGCGUGGGUAAUCUGCCUCCGGGCGGGGGAUAACGGGUCGAAAGACCCGCUAAUACCGCAUAAGACCACGGCCUCGAGGGGUUGUGGGAAAAGGUGGGGAUCUUCGGACCUAUCACCUGGAGAUGAGCCCGCGUGCCAUUAGGUAGUUGGCGGGGUAAUGGCCCACCAAGCCGAAGAUGGCUAGCUGGUCUGAGAGGAUGAUCAGCCACACUGGAACUGAGACACGGUCCAGACUCCUACGGGAGGCAGCAGUGGGGAAUAUUGCGCAAUGGGGGAAACCCUGACGCAGCAACGCCGCGUGUGUGAUGAAGGCCUUCGGGUCGUAAAGCACUGUGAGGUGGAACGAGCCGCCGGGGGCUAAUACCCUUCGGCCCGACGGUACCACCAGAGGAAGCACCGGCUAACCCUGUGCCAGCAGCCGCGGUAAUACAGGGGGC
rnacentral:rRNA from 1 species